rnacentral:rRNA from 1 species
UAACACGUAUCCAACCUGCCGAUUAUUCCGGGAUAGCCUUUCGAAAGAAAGAUUAAUACUGGAUAGCAUAACGAGAAGGCAUCUUCUUGUUAUUAAAGAAUUUCGAUAAUCGAUGGGGAUGCGUUCCAUUAGUUUGUUGGCGGGGUAACGGCCCACCAAGACAUCGAUGGAUAGGGGUUCUGAGAGGAAGGUCCCCCACAUUGGAACUGAGACACGGUCCAAACUCCUACGGGAGGCAGCAGUGAGGAAUAUUGGUCAAUGGACGAGAGUCUGAACCAGCCAAGUAGCGUGAAGGAUGACUGCCCUAUGGGUUGUAAACUUCUUUUAUAUGGGAAUAAAGUGAGCCACGUGUGGCUUUUUGUAUGUACCAUACGAAUAAGGAUCGGCUAACUCCGUGCCAGCAGCCGCGGUAAUACGGAGGAUCCGAGCGUUAUCCGGAUUUAUUGGGUUUAAAGGGAGCGUAGGCGGAUUAUUAAGUCAGUUGUGAAAGUUUGCGGCUCAACCGUAAAAUUGCAGUUGAUACUGGUAGUCUUGAGUGCAGCAGAGGUAGGCGGAAUUCGUGGUGUAGCGGUGAAAUGCUUAGAUAUCACGAAGAACUCCGAUUGCGAAGGCAGCUUACUGGACUGUAACUGACGCUGAUGCUCGAAAGUGUGGGUAUCACACAGGAUUAGAUACCCUGGUAGUCCACACAGUAAACGAUGAAUACUCGCUGU